rnacentral:rRNA from 1 species
CCAGUUGUUAAAGCUGCAACCAUUCGUCUUGUUCUCUCUAUUGCUGUUUCCAGGGGAUGGAGCCUUCACCAGCUAGAUGUCAAGAAUGCGUUUCUUCAUGGUGUUCUGGAAGAGGAAGUGUAUAUGAAACAACCUCCUGGUUUUGAAAACAAGAAUAAGCAGUUUCAUGUGUGCAAGCUUGAUAAAGCGCUAUAUGGACUCAAACAAGCCCCCAGGGCGUGGUACUCCAGGCUAAGUCACAAAUUGCAAGCUCUUGGCUUUGUUCCUUCUAAGUCUGACACAUCCUUGUUUAUUUACAACAAGCUGAAAACAUCCAUAUUUGUUCUUAUAUACGUUGAUGAUAUUACUGUCACAAGCUUAUCUGAUGAGGCCAUAUCAGGACUGUUGAAGGAUUUAAAUGCUGAGUUUGCUCUCAAGGAUCUGGGUGACUUGCACUUUUUCCUAGGGAUUGAAGUCAAGAAACAAGGUAACAGUCUUCAUCUAUCUCAGGAAAAGUAUGCCACUGAUCUGGUGAGAAGAGCUGGGUUACAUGGGUGUAAGUCUUCAUCAACUCCAUUGUCCAGCAUAAAAAAAUUGUCACUUACAGAAGGAGAGCCCUUGGGUCAAGAUGACAGUACCAGGUAUAGAAGUCUGGUAGGUGCACUUCAGUAUUUGACCUUGACAAGACCUGAUCUUUCAUUUGCAGUAAAUAAGGUUUGCCAGUUUCUUCAUGCACCCACUACAACUCAUUGGACUGCUGCAAAACGUAUAGUGAGAUAUGUAAAAGAUACAGUGAAUCUUGGUCUUACAUUUCACAAGUCCUCAUCUACACUUGUUAGUGCCUUUUCUGAUUCAGAUUGGGCUGGAUGUCUAGAUGACAGACGAUCCACUGGUGGUUUUGCAUUAUUUCUUGGUCCAAAUCUAAUAUCAUGGUGUGCCAAGAAACAAGCCACU